GAUGAAGAACGUAGCGAAAUGCGAUAAGUAAUGCGAAUUGCAGAAUUCAGUGAAUCAUCGAAUCUUUGAACGCACAUUGCGCCCGCCAGUAUUCUGGCGGGCAUGCCUGUUCGAGCGUCAUUACAACCCUCAGGCCCCCGGGCCUGGCGUUGGGGAUCGGCGGAGCCCCCCGUGGGCACACGCCGUCCCCCAAAUACAGUGGCGGUCCCGCCGCAGCUUCCAUCGCGUAGUAGCUAACACCUCGCGACUGGAGAGCGGCGCGGCCACGCCGUAAAACACCCAACUCUUCUGAAGUUGACCUAGAAUCAGGUAGGAAUACCCGCUGAACUUAAGCAUAUCAAUAAGCGGAGGA
rnacentral:misc_RNA from 1 species